rnacentral:lncRNA from 1 species
GUACGCAAUGGACACGAGGUCUCACAAAGCAGCGUGGUCAGAAGAAGAAACCAAGACGCUCAUAUGGCUCUGGGAAGAGCACCUUAGCGACCUACGCCGCGCAAAGCGCAACAUAAAUGUUUACGACGCCAUGCGGCAAAAGAUGCAAGAGUUGGGCUUUAAGAAGACGACAAAGGAGAUUAAGAAGAAAAUGGAAAACCUCGGCAACAAAUACAGACUCAUAAAGCGUAAGGAUACAGGAACGGGAUCAUAGCCUGGCCUUAUUAUUGGGACGUGCACCGGUUCCUCGCUUCACUGCCGUUGCACGACGACAGCCUUGCGCAGGAGAGCACCUGCACUGAAGCUUCUUCCCAUGCACAAGAGAUCCUAAACGGCAUUGUGUGUUGUGAAGUAGAUGAGCCU